rnacentral:rRNA from 1 species
AUUGAACGCUGGCGGCAGGCCUAACACAUGCAAGUCGAACGCGUGGCGGACGGGUGAGUAAUGUCUGGGAAACUGCCUGAUGGAGGGGGAUAAAUACUGGAAACGGUAGCUAAUACCGCAUACCAUCGGAUGUGCCCAUAUGGGAUUAGCUAGUAGGUGGGGUAAAGGCUCACCUAGGCGACGAUCCCUAGCUGGUCUGAGAGUAUGACCAGCCAAACUGGAACUGAGCCACGGUCCAGACUCCUACGGGAGGUAGCAGUUGGGAAUAUUUCACAAUGGGCGCAAGCCUGAUGCAGCCAUGCCGCGUGUAUGAAGAAGGCCUUCGGGUUGUAAAGUACUUUCAGCGGGGAGGCGUUACCCGCAGAAGAAGCACCGGCUAACUCCGUGCCAGCAGCCGCGGUAAUUC